UUGAGGUUCUGCGAGCGAAAGCAAACACAGAGAAGCAUAGAGAGCUCAGUACAUCAGAGUCUGACAGAGAGAGAGGAAAACUAAUGAACGACUAAGUGCGGCUCAGCUGAGGACCUGACCAAAGCUCUUCCCGCUGGCUUAAGGUUGUCCUCACUCACUCGAGUGUCGGUGCAGAAUGGAUUUCAUUUUGGUGGAGCAGCCGGAGACCAGGAGCAGCAGCUUUGUAGAUUACUAUCCCUCCUUUUGGAUUAUUUCAGACACCGCUGCUGUUGUGAUGAAUGGGAAUGACAGCAUGCAGAAAGGAAGAUGAACCCUAAUUCUCUGGAAAGCUCGAUCCAGAACCUGCUGUCGGUGCUGUACCCUCCCUUCGAGGCUACCGCCCCCACUCUCCUCAGCCAGCUCUUCCAAGUCAUAGACAGCCGUUAUCGGGGGGAUGCCCUGCGGUGCCUGCUGGACUUUCUGGUGCCAGCCAAACACAUCUUAGACAGCGUGCAACAGGCUGCAUGUGCUCAGUACUCUGAUGUUCUAUUCCUGUGUGAGGGCUGGCCUCUGUGUUUGCGUGACCAAGUUGUCGUCCACCUUGCUCCCAUCAACCCGCUGAUACUUCAGCCCGGCGACUUCUACCUCCAGGUGGCCCCUUUCUGUGACCAAUCAGCUCGCAUCGUAGUCUGCAGCCUCCUGGAAGAGGAGGGGCUUGAGGUGGAAGUAGUAGAGGAGAAUCCCAUCCCUGAGACUUCCUAUCCUUGUAUAUUCAGCUCUGACUGGUUGGAAGAGAUCAACCAAGGCCGCCAUGGAACGCCUCUCAGCCGCUGCCUGCUAACCACCGAGCAGGGCGUGGUGAGGUUACCAUGGGGACGGGUUGCUGUGCCUGAUUUUGUGGACGUGCCGCUGUGUGCUGGGAGUAGCAUGGCCUCUGCUUCUCCUUCAUAUCCUCCUUCAUAUCCUCCUUUACCUCCGAUUCCUCCACCUCUUCCUCAUUUUCCUGAGAGUUCUUCUUCAAAUUCUUUAUUUCCUCUUCCUCCUUCAAAAGAAUCGGCACCAAAACAGUAUCCUGUUAGCGUUCAUAAUUCAAAUUUAUCAUCUUCUUCUCAUCCGUCUUCCUUCUCCGUGGAGACCAGAAUAUGUCCAGCGAGGCACGGCAUUGCUGUGUCACUCCGCCUGGUGGAUACUAGCGCUGCGUCUUCCUCACGGCCGGUCAAAGUUAAACAACCUGAAGCUGAGCCUAAGCCUGUGGGCUGGGUGUCCCCUAAUACUUGGGACAGCUGCUCUACUGGGGCAGGUCCAAAAACAAGCACUGUUCCAGGUGCAGGCACUUCUGCAAGGGACGAUACAACUAGGUGCAAAGGUGAAGAAAAGGCUGGAAUUGUUUCUGAAAAUAUAGGGCCGCAAAAACCUAAAGAUAUAAGCAGAAGAGGCCCAGUUGUGGAGGAAGGGGAAUAUAUUGAUAUACUUCAGGCAACUAUGCUUUUUAGUAGAGCUAAGUCAGCAACUAAAGAACGGCAGAAAUUAGAAGUGCAAAUGCAACCGCACACACACAUUGAACCACAAACGCAAAGACUUCCACACAGGCCACCACAUCCACAAAUGGAGUCGCACAGGCAAACACAGAGUCAUCCACCUCAAGCCCAGUCACAAGCUCAGGUGCAGUUUCUCACAAAGCCACAAACUCAAAGUCAUGUUAGACCAGAGGCGGCUGCAUCAUUUAGGCCCAAUGUGUCUGAAAAACCACCUCCGUACCAUUCCCAAUCCCAUCAGCCUCACCCUGACUCCCUGGAGGUUUCUCAGUGUGCCCGCUUCUCAGAGAAACCCUGUACCCCGUGCCAGAGGAGAAGACAAGGCGGAAAGGCCUCCAGGGCUCCGGAGCUGAAGUGUCGAUACAGGGACUCCUACCAGGCUGCUAUAAACAACCCUGUCAACUUUAAACAGGAGAAGGGGCACAUGUUGGCAAUGGUGGAGGAGGAUGGUUUCUCUAAGUGUGAUGAAAGACUACCAGAGACAGAGGAUCCGCGGUGUAAUGUUCAAGGAAUGUGGAUUAACCCUGCUACGCAACAGCAGCCUCCUUCCUCGGUCUGUGAGGAGUCGGGAGAAAAAAACACUGUUCCAUAUUGGAAAACAGGAGAUACAAACAAUGCCCCCUGUAUGGAUUACAGGGGAACACAUGCUUUAAAAUGUGGUGGGCUACCAGAAGCAACACCUGAAAGGACCACUCAGCCAUUUAGGGAACCAAGGGAUGCACACUCUGCCAAAACUUGUGGCAAUUUACACAAUGUAAACGGGACAAAUGUAGCGGCAGGAACGAGGACAAUCACUAAUAGAGCUUUGUCUAGUUCAAACAAUCAGUCAGAUGUCAUCUCUGUUAAACACGGCGGAUUACCGUUUACUUCCUCUGAAAUCUCAGCGGUGAACCUCAAGCCUUGUGAAAGGCUACAAAGCAGAACCAUUUCCACGGGAGUGAGUGCUAACUUUCCUCUUUCAGCGUCGCAGAACAGACCGGAGUCCAUGUCUGAUGGCAGAUGUUCCUCCCUGUCCACAGCUGUGGUGGACACCUCUGAGAAGUGUUCGCUGGUCAUUGUUGAAGGUCAAAAUGUUCGGAGAAAAGACAACUCCGGCUCCUGUGGAACGAUUCCCCAGCUGCAUGUGGUGAAAUGUAAAAACAGCACAGCCUUUGGACUGGUUUCACCCAAGAUCAACAGGAGGAAUAUGGCAGCUCCAGAAGCUGCUCAGCCUGGCAGUACGUUCAGCAGCAGAGAUGGCCAUCAGACGGAGAAGCCGUCACAGACAGAUCCAAUUCAAGCAGCAGAGACACAGAAGAUGUCCCAGCCCACCUCCACCCGUCCCAGACCGGACCACCUCCCCCUGGGGUCCCCGGACCCCAGAGCCCACCCCCUCUACUUAGGAGUGGCAGCUCUCACCGGCGGCAGAGACAGGACAGGCCGGGCGAUCGUGGAGCUGUACGGACAUCACCAGGGAUGGAGAUCAGCUGUCACCAGCCAGGAGCUCUUCCAGAUGCUGCUCUACUUCCGCACCAUCACCAGGAGAGAAAUCAGAGAAGCUGGGAUGACUCUUAUUUUUGAUUCGAGGAAGAUAAAUCCUCAGCCGCAGCUCUACAAGGCCUUGAUGACGCUUCAGGAGCUGACUCCGCACGCAGUAAACAGUUUCGUGCUGCUGGUGGACAAGGACAGAAAUCUUCAGCCAGAGCGGUGUCCCGGCAUCCAGACUGAAGUGGUGACGUCGAUGAAAGCCCUGUUGAAGCUGGUGGAGGCGAGUCAGCUAAGCUCUCGUCUGGACGGAGCGAUGUCUCACAGCCCCUGUGACUGGAUAGAGCUGCACCAGAAACUCUUCCCAUUUGUGUCUGAUCUUCAUGAGGCAUCCAGCCUUCUACUGAGAGCCAUCAGUAGGUUAGAGGAGCCCCAGAGGACCGACACUGUACAGUGUGUGCAGCAGUGCAUGGUGGACCAGAGGACUCUGAUGAGGAAUGUACUGGAGGACAGUCGAUUGGUCGAACUGCAGAGGGAGGGCGGGGCCGUCCUGGCGAGGUUAAGAAAGGAGAGUGACCUCAAGUACCCCCACUGCGAGGAGCUCAGUGACGCAGUGGACUCGGUGUCCAGCCUGUACAACUACGUGGAGGAGCAGGCUCACGUCCUCGUGCAGAGGUCCAACAUGUCUGUGGAACACCUGGAGUACCUGCUGCAACUCAGAGAGAUGGAGGGACACUUCACGCAGAUGCAACAGUGGUUGACUGUAGAGGGAGAGCGCCACCUGCCCGAGGCUGAGUCAGUCGAGGACUCUGGAGAGCAAAUGGAGCAGACCCUCAACAGCUUCACUCGCUUCCUCAUUGAAGCUAAUGACCGCAGACACCACGCCAUGACGUUAGUGUCAGAGGCAGACCUCCUCCAGCAGAGUGGGCUCUCCUACCCAGAGACGGAGGAGUUCUGGACUCUAGUCUGCUCCUUCAAGUCAGGCCUGGAGGAGUUCCUGUGCAGAGCAGAGGCCUGUGGCAGGGAGCUGCAGACCAUGGUCAACGUGUGUGAUUUCUGUGAGCAGGCUAAUGCUCUGGCCAGCGAAUGCAUUGAGUACCUGGACCAGACUCAAUCCAGAAUCUACCAAAAGCAAAACCGUGACCAGGAUACAGCACCUGUCAAUCAAGCCAACACUCAGCCAAUACAGCGCCACAACCAAGACCCUCGAUCGAGCACUGCAUCCCUUUUCCCAUCUGAUGCAUCCCACCCAACCACCACCAGUGUUAUACCGUCCAGCAGUGACACCUCCGUCCUCCAGACCUUCCAAGACAGGUUCCUCCAGUUCAGCCCAGAUACAUUUCAGGAAGUGAAGGCCCAGGCCAGCGCCCUGAGGGGCUCCAGGGGGAUGCAGGUCUGGAACGUAGCCUGGCUGCGAUGCCAGGAGGCCAGGCAGCAGCUUCAGGAGAGGAUCCGGGAAGUGGAUGAGGUUUUCCACCCUGAACCAGACUCUAGCAGCUGGUGUGAAGGUCAUUAUGUUGAUGUGGUGAGCACUACUGUUCAGACACCGUCGCCUGGGAGCCAGAGUCUGGUGGUACAGUCAACACCCGGACCUGGUCACCCGCAGUGGGAGGGCAUCGUGUCGGGAGCCGUGGAUUUAGGGAAGAGAAAGCCGAUCCUGGGCAGCAACAACACAGACCCAACAUCUGCUGCCUGCUCUAACAUCAAACCUGAAGAUCACAGCCAGGGGUCAAAGGUCCCUCCACAGUCUCCUCACAGUAGGACGACAAGGAGAACAGAAAGAGAGACAAGGAGGAGACAGACGAGCAGAGCGAGGAGCGAGAGGGACGCCGCUGCUCUGUCUCAGUCCCACACUGUCGGCUGCCAGUGGUUUCCAUGGGGACGAGGUCUUGGAUCCAGGUCGGUGAGCCAGGACUCGUGCAUCACAGCAGCAGCAGCGACGGCGGGGUCCUCCACUCCUCCAGAGCAGCGGGGGCGCCCCUCUUCGUCCUGCUCACACCACGGCCAGCCGUCCUGUCGGAUCCUCCAGGAGGCUCAGAAGUUCCAGCUGUCCCGACACGGCAGCUUCUGCUCCGAGGACUCCUGUAUGAGCGACCGGGGGGCGGCGGGGGGGGACGGGACUUUAGGCUGCAAACACUCCAGCCUGCCCAUCGGGAGAUAUGAAGGGGCCUUUGGUUCGGCAAAUCCACAGGAGAGUGCCAGCAAUGCACUGAGGCUGCAGCGUGUCCUGGAGGAGCUGGUGUUCACAGAGAGGGAGUACGUCCGCUCUCUGGGCUACAUCCUGACGCACUACCUCCCCCUGCUGGACCGACCCGACAUCCCCCAGGACCUCCGGGGCAAGAGAGGCGUCAUCUUCGGUAACCUGGAGAAGCUUUACGACUUCCACAGCCACUAUUUCCUGCCGGAGCUGGAGGCCUGCCAGAGGGAGCCCGCCAUGGUGGCCCGCUGCUUCCUCAGACAUAGUGAGAGCUUUGGCCUCUACGCUCUGUACAGCAAGAACAAACCACUGUCAGACGCCCUGAUCCUGCACCGCCGCCAUGACAUCUUCAAGAAGAAGCAGCAGGAGCUGGGGGACAUGAUGGACCUGUCCUCCUACCUGCUGAGGCCCAUCCAGAGGAUCAGCAAGUACAGCCUCCUGCUGCAGGACAUGCUGGCUCUGUCUGGCUCACACAGGCCCAAAGACAUGAUCCAGGACUCACUGCUCGCUUCCAGCAUGUGCCCACAGAGUGUGAGCGGCCCGGGUUCAUAUGUGCCUGAUCAGAUGAGCAGGGAGAGGGAGCGAGAGAGGGCUGAGAUCCAGGCUGCUGCAGAUCUGGUCCGCUUUCAAAUGCGUCAUGGCAACGAUUUGCUCACCAUGGACGCCAUCCAGGACUGUGAUGUGAAUUUAAAGGAGCAGGGCCAGCUGAUUCGCCAGGAUGAGUUCAAUGUUUUCUUCCGGAAGAAGAAAUGUGUCCGCCGCAUCUUUCUAUUUGAAGAUCUCAUCCUCUUCAGCAAAACUAAGAAGACAGUUAUUGGCAACGAUGUUUAUGUCUACAAGCAGUCAUUCAAGACUAGCGACAUUGGGAUGACUCACAACUCCAGUGUGAGCGGUUUGUGUUUUGAGAUCUGGUUCCGCAGGAGGAAAAGUGGGGACACCUACACCCUGAAGGCCCCCAGCAUGGAGGUGAAGAAAGCCUGGACCACCGACCUGGAGAGGAUUCUGUGGGAUCAGGCCGCCCACAGCAGAGAUUUGCGUUUGCAGGAGAGGGUUUUCAUGGGAAUGGGCCGCAAACCUUUUAUGGACAUUCAACCCAGCGAUGCUGCCAUCUGUGAUCGAUCCGUCAGCUGCGCCCUGCCUGGGAGAAUCCCUGUGGCGUGUUAUUCACACAGGGGCUUAGAGUAUCCACGACCUCACUCCAUUGGCUCUGGCAGCACCGCUUCCACGACUAUAAGCCAAUCAUCUUCCUCCUCUGGACGGGGCUCGCUACCCCCAGCUGGUUAUCCCGGGAACCAAUCACAGGGAGCGGAGACCGGUCUUUCUGUCUACUCUUCCCCUGAGGCUGUGACUGAAAAUGAAAUCAACAAUCUUCACCUUCGUCAGUAUCAUCUUCAUCGUAACUGUGAACAAUGGAAAAGCAAUCACCUACUAAUGGACAGCACCUCAUCAUCUGGAGAACACAUCAACGUCUUCAGCAGCUCGGACCGCAGCUGCCUGUCUGCCAUUAAUGCAGAGGUAGUGGACGACGCCUCCUCCGUCGUAUCCCAGAGUUCAGUAUACCACCCACCACUUUGCCGGACCCCCAGCCUGAGGGGAGACAGCUCACCAGCGAUUACAAGAAAGAAACCAGGUGUCGCCCCCAAACCUCCACAUCUGGCUAAUGCUCAGCUACAGGUGAAGGAGUAACAAGAUGAAGAAGACCUUCUGAAUUUAUGUGGGGAUGACAUUAUAAUUGGAAAAUCAACAGAAGUCUAACCCUGGAUUCCCUGCAAAAGAUUGUCGGUGUUCUGAAGCUGCUCCGUCCUGUUGGAGAGCCUCCAGCUGCCCUGCAGAGUGAACACACACAUGUCAUGCUCCACAGUCACGCGGCUGCCAGCUUUGUCUGGUCACAAGGUUUUUAGUUUUCAGUGAUUUAUUGAACCAACUGAGGUUUGGUUUGUUAAUAUCACAUGGCAGUCAUUUAAAUGUGGUUGUCUCAUGUGUCUUAUAUCACAUAUAGUCUAAAAUUACCACACACGAAAAGAUGAUGUAGUUGAAAUAUUGGUCAUAAGGUGCACACACACACACAUCAUUUUGUGGGAUCUUCUGUGCUAUACAGCCUACAAUUAUUAACAGCAGGGAUCAUAGAGUGUUGUCUUUAUUAUCUUCUAGAAAUGGCACAAUGCUGGUUCACAAACAGAGAAGCAGCAUCACCACACAUGAGGGAGACCCUUUCAGGUGUAUUGCCAGAGCACUGCUUGAGAAACAGCUGUAUAACAUAAUUCUCCUGACAGCUGGACUACAUUGUUUUGGUUACAGGAUCAUGAGGGGAACUUAAUGGCAAUAGGCCCAGCACUCGCUGAAGAUACAAAACGUAGUUGAUUACCAUAAAUGGAGAAGGAUUCAAUAUGCAGAACCUAAAUGGAUGUUAUAUGUAGAAAUAAUAUAUAUAUAGGGAUAUUUGUUUUCUCCUACAGUUAAAGGUUUCCUGUUCAUUUAUGUACUACUGCUGUGUUUUUAAACAAAUGUUUGUAUCAGGUUUGUAUCUGUCUGGCUCUGAGAUUCUUACAGUAGUCCUGUAUUCAAAUAAUUAUUUGAAGGGACAGACCACUAGCUCAUGUGCUUUCACAUCAGGAUUUGAACUACUUUGAAAUAAUUUAGCAUACACACUCAGACACACACAUUUUUACUACAAGCUUUAACGUACAUGCUGAGGUACCACUUACUGUCUUUAAGGGUCCACUUGUGCUUACAUACUGAUCCAUUUCCCAGCUACAUCCUCAAGUAAAUGACCAUUACAGAAAGUUAUUCUCAUAUGAUUUUUGUUUCUUAAUGAGUUAUUAAUGAAGGUCUGUGAUUUUUAUUGUACAGUAUACAAGUGACAGGAUCGUAAAAAAACUGAGGUCAUAAUGUUGUCCUCUGGUUAUUUUAAUUUCAAAGCCACUAUCUUUUUAAAACAUGACAGAUCCAUGUUUUUUAAUUUCUUACUUGCUUUACUAGCUUUCUUUCAUUUAUUAUUUUCAUUGUUUCAAUAUUCAAAUGUGGGGUCAGUACGGUUGUUGUUUUCUUUCUUUCUUCUUGUGUUUUUAUUUUAAGAUAAAGUAUCACAUUGUGUGGUUUCUCGCUUCUGGACUCUGACCAGACAGAUUGCCGUAACAUGAGGAUGUCAUCCGACAGCUUCACUUCCUUAUUCCACAGACACAUAAUUCCUUAAAGACUGUAGACACCUGUUGCAAUCUGUUUCAUUUCCCUAGGUGCAGAUUUUAUUUUGGUGCUAAAGCAGUUGAAAUGUCUUUCAGCUCUUUCUUUUGUGUGUCAGGGAGAUUUCUCUCGCAUUUUGCUGACACAUUUGAUUAAAUAUAGGCUCUCAGUCUAAUAAACAAUGUUUUACCUUUUUAAAUGUGCAUUUAAUCAGGAAACAACACAUUGAGGCUUUGGUUUCAUUAUCUAUAGCAUCCUUCAGUAACUGAACAUUUUAAAAGUGAAAGACUCACCAUGUGAUCUGAGAAAAAUGUGUGCCUUGCAUAAGAAAAAAACGACUACAAUCAGUUGCAUUCAAGUUUUAACUGUAUGAUGUGUAAAUUCCUGUGUUACAUUAUAUAAUGUCAUUUAUCAGUUGUUGGAACAUUGUGUUAAUGUUGAAUCAUUAUACCAAUUCACAGUAUGUUGCAGCUCCAAAGAAUGACAUCAAUAAUUUAUGAAAAAAUGUUAUUGUUGUUAUUAUUAUUGUUUAUAUUUAUUUUACAGAAAUAAAGUUACUAUGGUCUAU